UACGGAGGGUGCGAGCGUUGUUCGGAUUUACUGGGCGUAAAGCGCGUGCAGGCGGGUCAGCAAGUCCUGUGUGUAAUCUUCCGGCUCAACCGGGAAGCUGCAUGGGAAACUACUGAUCUUGAGUGCGAGAGAGGAUGGCGGAAUUCCUGGUGUAGCGGUGAAAUGCGUAGAUAUCAGGAGGAACACCGGUGGCGAAGGCGGCCGUCUGGCUCGACACUGACGCUCAUACGCGAAGGCCGGGGGAGCAAACAGGAUUAGAAACCCCGUGUAGU
rnacentral:rRNA from 1 species